rnacentral:sRNA from 1 species
CCAAACCCCCAAGGCUGCAUACUCUCUGCCUUCGUCCAAUCAGGGGCAAGCAUACAUCCUGACGUAUUUCCUGCCUAAACACCUCCCACUUACGGGUGAUCAAGCACUUCCGGUGCAGUUGGGGCCACCAACCUUGCUAACUGAAGCGGAAACUCUUGACUUGUUAUCUUACAUUAACGGAAGCCCCCAGCAUCCUGGGAAGUUAUGGGGCUUACAGGUUAACUCUAGCCCUUACAUUGUCACUAAAAGUGUACUGUACCAUACACCUCCUCUGCUUCACGUUCCACAAAAGGUGUGAAGAUAUGGGACUGCUUCAGAGCAGCAGACUAUGAUUGGCUUCCUGAUCUAGCAGAGAGGCAUGGCUUUGCCAGAUGCAGAUAGUUUUCUGUGAUUGUUUGACGUUUGGAAUUCUGGAAACUUCAGAGGGCCCCGACAGACAUGAUGGUGUACAGACAUGCAAAGAAGACCAACAGACAAAGGAGGGGUACUUAGGACCCAUGGUAGAAAAAGCAAGCAGGACACAACACAGCAGCCUGAAGACUCAAACUCCUUAAAAUCCCCUCCAAAUACUAUUAAACACACUACCUUUAAGACUCAUUUUCUACAAAAUGGACUGAUGAACCAGAACACUUGAAUUCUGCCGUGAGCUUUGGGAUGAGCUGAAAUUUAAAGAGAGAGGGAAUGCGUGUCCUUCUAAUACUGGGAAAGAAGAGUAUAAAAGGGCAACAGAUAGCAGUUGAUUGGUUGAUGUCCAUCAGCGGGAUGAAGAAAGAAAAAUCUCAGAUGGUUGCAAAAAAUCUAUACAGGAAUAUUCAUCACAGUAUGACCAGGCAAAUCUGUAUCUUCUCUUCUAUCCAGAGUGAAAACAUCUACUGUUCCCCGUGGAAUCUAAUACACAGCGAGAUCUAAUGAAACCAUUGUUUCA